UAUAAAGUUACAGCUAGAACUCUACUAAAAGAUACGUGCAAGUUUGCAUCGCUGAUUUCAACCUACUCAACCUAUACUCGAUUACCCUAGCUCGUAAUAAAUUGUCUACACUGAAACAUCUCAGUCUUAUAUCUUUGCAUGCUCAUGUUCAAUUGUGUAUGUAGCAAUUGGAGACUUGUGACUGGGCAUGGUAAGUUACAGUGGCAGUGAAGAAGUCAGGAGCCUCCAGAGUCCUUCAGUGCAGUGCAGUGCAGGCAGCCUUCUCUCUAGCCUCCUUCUGGCCUGAAGAGCGGCCUGGGAUCGAGGCUACCUUCUCUCUAGUCUCUAACUCUAGCUAGUCUCGAGGCCAGAUUCUGAUUAAGGAGAGUUUGGCCUCGAGACUAUAAUUAUAAGCUGGAACUAUAGGUGUGGCAUGAGGGGGCGUUCAGGAGGGCGAGGCCUCAAACAUACUUAGCACAUGGUGCUUGCAGCUGCACCAGACUGCAGCUGCUCAUGCAGCUUUAUACCAUCACUGACUGCAUGCCUGUACCCCUGGCCCUGGGCUACCAUGUUCCAUGUACACCAGCUAGGAUCUAGGAGUCAAGAGUCACCUGCAUCUGCAGCUUGAAAGAAAAGACAAUCGCAAGUUAGUCAGUGCUCAUUGCUAAACUCAACUUAUUGCCCAAUACUCUCUUUCAGAUUUUCUUAAAGAGUAGAUAGUACCACCAUCUCAAAGAAAAAAUUUACAAAUCACUGCUAUACCGUAUCGGCGUAUAACUCCACCAUGUACCAGCUUCAAAGAAAAAGGAUUUAAGUUAUGUUGCUCAUUGCUAAAUAAAUGUGUUUACGUGUUUCUUCCAGCUGCAGAUUUUACCGUACCUCGGCCCCACAAUGUGUACCAGCUAGGAGUCUAUACUUAACCACCUUCAUCGACUUCAAAGAAACGACUUGCAAGUUAUGUCAGAUUCCAUAAAACUAUAUAGCUAGCUAGAGGGCAACUGUCCCUGGUUUCGACCUUCAUCUGUAGCAUACUGAUUUACGAGUUUGUGUCUUCAUGUGUCAGUUACACUGGUUUCGACUGGUCAACUUCGUCCAUGGGGUGAUAGCUAGCAUACUGAUUUACGAGUUUGUGUGUAUGUGUCCUCAUGUGUCAGUUACACUGGUUUCGACUGGUCAACUUCGUCCAUGGGGUGAUAGCUAGCAUUGUAAUUUACCAGUUUGUGUGUAUGUGUCCUCAUGUGUCAGUUACACUGGUUUCGACUGGUCAACUUCGUCCAUGGGGUGAUAGCUAGCAUUGUAAUUUACCAGUUUGUGUGUAUGUGUCCUCAUGCGUCAGUUACACUGGUUUCGACUGGUCAACUUCGUCCAUGGGGUGAUAGCUAGCAUUGUAAUUUACCAGUUUGUGUGUACAUGUAUGUGUCCUCAUGCGUCAGUUACACUGGUUUCGACUGGUCAACUUCGUCCAUGGGGUGAUAGCUAGCAUUGUAAUUUACCAGUUUGUGUGUAUGUGUCCUCAUGCGUCAGUUACACUGGUUUCGACUGGUCAACUUCGUCCAUGGGGUGAUAGCUAGCAUUGUAAUUUACCAGUUUGUGUGUAUGUGUCCUCAUGCGUCAGUUACACUGGUUUCGACUGGUCAACUUCGUCCAUGGGGUGAUAGCUAGCAUUGUAAUUUACCAGUUUGUGUGUAUGUGUCCUCACGUGUCAGUUACACUGGUUUCGACUGGUCAACUUCGUCCAUGGAGUGAUAGCUAGCAUUGUAAUUUACCAGUUUGUGUGUAUGUGUCCUCACGUGUCAGUUACACUGGUUUCGACUGGUCAACUUCGUCCAUGGGGUGAUAGCUAGCAUUGUAAUUUACCAGUUUGUGUGUAUGUGUCCUCACGUGUCAGUUACACUGGUUUCGACUGGUCAACUUCGUCCAUGGAGUGAUAGCUAGCAUUGUAAUUUACCAGUUUGUGUGUAUGUGUCCUCACGUGUCAGUUACACUGGUUUCGACUGGUCAACUUCGUCCAUGGGGUGAUAGCUAGCAUUGUAAUUUACCAGUUUGUGUGUAUGUGUCCUCAUGCGUCAGUUACACUGGUUUCGACUGGUCAACUUCGUCCAUGGGGUCAUAGCUAGCAUACUGAUUUACGAUUUUGUGUGUAUGUGUCCUCACGUGUCAGUUACACUGGUUUCGACUGGUCAACUUCGUCCAUGGGGUGAUAGCUAGCAUACUGAUUUACGAGUUUGUGUGUAUGUGUCCUCAUGUGUCAGUUACACUGGUUUCGACUGGUCAACUUCGUCCAUGGGGUGAUAGCUAUAGCAUACUGAUUUACGAGUUUGUGUGUAUAUGUGUCCUCACGUGUCAGUUACACUGGUCAACUUCGUCCAUGGGGGUGAUAGCUUAUACUAUUUACAUUUUGCACUACAUAUGUGUUGAUAACUAUAGUGACUUCAAUCUUUUGUUCUGUAGGGGCUUAUUGUGACGAAAAUGAUCUGAGGGAUGUAGCGUUCAUGAAACCAAACGAAACGCCUGCAGUUCACUACUGGAAUUUCAAGAAACGCUAAGUGAUGAACACUAAAAACAAUUUACUGACAGAAGAAAUGUAUUGUGCUGCAUGUCAUGUGAUCCAGUGAUCUUAUUCUAUCAUAAACUCAUUGUUCUAAUACCGUUUGACCUUCUGCAUGUGCGUACGUGCGCGAGAAAACAACUAAUUAAAUGACAAAGGUAUAGUGUUAAUUUAACAAAGAAAUUCACUUCAUAGCAGUGUUAAUUCAGCAUUCACUUUGCUAUUUUGACAUAGAAGUACAAUAAAUUGGUGAAAUUCAGAUGACAUAAUACUUUGUUGUUUUGACAUAAUUUCUUUGCUUGAAUGACAAAACAUUGUAGGUUGUUUUACCUUUGUCAUUCUAACAAAUAUUAUUCUGUCAUGUGAGAUUCAUCACCGGGACAAACUUUUGUUUGUUAAAUUAACAAAAGUGUUUUUGCAGUGUACUUAACCACCUUCAUCGACUUCAAAGAAACGACUUGCAAGUUAUGUCAGAUUCCAUAAAACUAUAUAGCUAGCUAGAGGGCAACUGUCCCUGGUUUCGACCUUCAUCUGUAGCAUACUGAUUUACGAGUUUGUGUCUUCAUGUGUCAGUUACACUGGUUUCGACUGGUCAACUUCGUCCAUGGGGUGAUAGCUAGCAUACUGAUUUACGAGUUUGUGUGUAUGUGUCCUCAUGUGUCAGUUACACUGGUUUCGACUGGUCAACUUCGUCCAUGGGGUGAUAGCUAGCAUUGUAAUUUACCAGUUUGUGUGUAUGUGUCCUCAUGUGUCAGUUACACUGGUUUCGACUGGUCAACUUCGUCCAUGGGGUGAUAGCUAGCAUUGUAAUUUACCAGUUUGUGUGUAUGUGUCCUCAUGCGUCAGUUACACUGGUUUCGACUGGUCAACUUCGUCCAUGGGGUGAUAGCUAGCAUUGUAAUUUACCAGUUUGUGUGUACAUGUAUGUGUCCUCAUGCGUCAGUUACACUGGUUUCGACUGGUCAACUUCGUCCAUGGGGUGAUAGCUAGCAUUGUAAUUUACCAGUUUGUGUGUAUGUGUCCUCACGUGUCAGUUACACUGGUUUCGACUGGUCAACUUCGUCCAUGGAGUGAUAGCUAGCAUUGUAAUUUACCAGUUUGUGUGUAUGUGUCCUCACGUGUCAGUUACACUGGUUUCGACUGGUCAACUUCGUCCAUGGGGUGAUAGCUAGCAUUGUAAUUUACCAGUUUGUGUGUAUGUGUCCUCAUGCGUCAGUUACACUGGUUUCGACUGGUCAACUUCGUCCAUGGGGUCAUAGCUAGCAUACUGAUUUACGAUUUUGUGUGUAUGUGUCCUCACGUGUCAGUUACACUGGUUUCGACUGGUCAACUUCGUCCAUGGGGUGAUAGCUAGCAUACUGAUUUACGAGUUUGUGUGUAUGUGUCCUCACGUGUCAGUUACACUGGUUUCGACUGGUCAACUUCGUCCAUGGGGUGAUAGCUAUAGCAUACUGAUUUACGAGUUUGUGUGUAUAUGUGUCCUCACGUGUCAGUUACACUGGUCAACUUCGUCCAUGGGGGUGAUAGCUUAUACUAUUUACAUUUUGCACUACAUAUGUGUUGGUAACUAUAGUGACUUCAAUCUUUUGUUCUGUAGGGGCUUAUUGUGACGAAAAUGAUCUGAGGGAUGUAGCGUUCAUGAAACCAAACGAAACGCCUGCAGUUCACUACUGGAAUUUCAAGAAACGCUAAGUGAUGAACACUAAAAACAAUUUACUGACAGAAGAAAUGUAUUGUGCUGCAUGUCAUGUGAUCCAGUGAUCUUAUUCUAUCAUAAACUCAUUGUUCUAA